GACUACAAGUUGUGAUCUUUACAUGAUUCUCAAAUUCUGACAAUGAGAUUCCUUUGACCCGAUAUAGUAUUUAACAAAUGUUCAAUUUACUUCACAGGUUGAGUCGUUUGUAUGAGGAGUUGUAGAGAGUGAUAGUAUGGUUGGAAGGAAACCACAGUGCAUGGGUAGCAGAGCAAAGGUCAAUGUUAGACCAGAAGACCAGCAACGUGAGACUGACCAAAAG